UACUCUGGGUAAAAAACAGCUCAAUGGCUGGAGCAUGCCCCUCGCUGUUACAAACAUAAAGGACUCUGAACUCCCUCCUGAGCCCAAAGACGUGCCCGUCCUCAUCCAGCUGAGACUGCUGGACCAGAGAGAUGCUACAGCGAAGCUCACUUGUGCUGUCGCAGUUCCUCCAGAGAUAUCAGGAGAGCAGACGG